UUUCGCUCUUAAAUAAGGGAAACGAUUCGUAGGCAAAAAUAAAUAAAGUGCGUGAAAACAUAUUGAUCGUCGAGUUGACUAUGGAAUUUCGAAAGUUGAUAUUCUAUGUCUAAUAAGUAAAAAAGUGCGCCUCCAAAGUUCAAUAAACCGAUGAAAUGAUUCAGACUUAAUGACUGGAUGCAUAGAAUGAACUUGUCCAACUCUUCAUCAGUUCAGGGUUUCACAGAGCAUCACAUGAUUCCGAUUCCAGUUUUCCUUGCGGAGAACGAGAGUGAAACACUUACGAUAAAAUCCGGAAGGAAAAAUAAGGAAGGAGGUCCGAUGAAAGUGAAAAUAAUAACUGAUUGAUGUCGAAGCCUACUAUUCAAUUAUCAACUGAACGUUCGUCUUUGAAGUUCCAAGGAAAACGAGGUAUGGGUGUAUCGAAAUAUGCUUCGAAGUGCCAAGGUGUUCCGCUUGAGUGGGAAAAAGAUCACCAUCUGUCUGAAAAAUUUCAUUGCAAG